rnacentral:rRNA from 1 species
AACGCGAAGAACCUUACCUGGGCUCGAACGGCUAUGGACUAUCCUUGGAAACAGGGACUUCUCGCAAGAGACUGUAGUCGAGGUGCUGCAUGGCUGUCGUCAGCUCGUGUCGUGAGAUGUUGGGUUAAGUCCCGCAACGAGCGCAACCCUUGUCCUGUGUUGCCAUCAUUUAGUUGGGCACUCUCAGGAGACCGCCAGCGAUAAGCUGGAGGAAGGUGGGGAUGAUGUCAAGUCAUCAUGGCCUUUAUGUCCAGGGCUACACACGUGCUACAAUGGCCGGUACAAAGCGCUGCAAACUCGCAAGAGGGAGCUAAUCGCAAAAAACCGGUCUCAGUUCGGAUCGCAGGCUGCAACUCGCCUGCGUGAAGCUGGAAUCGCUAGUAAUGCCGUAUCAGAACGAUGGCGUGAAUACGUUCCCGGGCCUUGUACACACCGUAGUAC